AGGUUAAGGUUGUAAGUUUAUGUUAAGGUUAUAAGUAGAGGUUAUAGGUUAAGGUUAAGGUCUAGGUUUAGGUUAUAAGUAUAAGUUUUGGGAUUUGAGAAUAUGUUUAGGUUAAGAUUAUAAGUUUAGGUAUAGAUUAUAAGUAUAGGUUAUAGGUUAAGGUUAAGGUCGAGGUUUAGGUUAAGGUUAUAAGUCUAGGUUUAGGUUAUAGGUUAAGGUUUAGGUUUAGGUUAUAGGUAUAGGUUUAGGUUAUAGGUUAUAAGUAUAGGUUAUAGGUUAAGGUUAAGGUUAAGGUUAAGGUCUAGGUUUAGGUUAUAGGUUAAGGUUUUGGGAUUUGAGAAUAGGUUUAGGU